AACCCAUGGUGAGGGCACCUUCUCAAUAAAUCCUUGUAUCUCUCCCAUGCAUCAUAAAGAGUUUUUAGAUCUAUCUACCCAAAAGAAGAGAUAUCAUUCCUUAAUUU
rnacentral:snoRNA from 1 species